UUAAGCGACUAAGCGUACACGGUGGAUGCCCUGGCAGUCAGAGGCGAUGAAGGACGUGCUAAUCUGCGAUAAGCGUCGGUAAGGUGAUAUGAACCGUUAUAACCGGCGAUUUCCGAAUGGGGAAACCCAGUGUGUUUCGACACACUAUCAUUAACUGAAUCCAUAGGUUAAUGAGGCGAACCGGGGGAACUGAAACAUCUAAGUACCCCGAGGAAAAGAAAUCAACCGAGAUUCCCCCAGUAGCGGCGAGCGAACGGGGAGCAGCCCAGAGCCUGAAUCAGUGUGUGUGUUAGUGGAAGCGUCUGGAAAGGCGCGCGAUACAGGGUGACAGCCCCGUACACAAAAAUGCACAUGCUGUGAGCUCGAUGAGUAGGGCGGGACACGUGGUAUCCUGUCUGAAUAUGGGGGACCAUCCUCCAAGGCUAAAUACUCCUGACUGACCGAUAGUGAACCAGUACCGUGAGGGAAAGGCGAAAAGAACCCCGGCGAGGGGAGUGAAAAAGAACCUGAAACCGUGUACGUACAAGCAGUGGGAGCACGCUUAGGCGUGUGACUGCGUACCUUUUGUAUAAUGGGUCAGCGACUUAUAUUCUGUAGCAAGGUUAACCGAAUAGGGGAGCCGAAGGGAAACCGAGUCUUAACUGGGCGUUAAGUUGCAGGGUAUAGACCCGAAACCCGGUGAUCUAGCCAUGGGCAGGUUGAAGGUUGGGUAACACUAACUGGAGGACCGAACCGACUAAUGUUGAAAAAUUAGCGGAUGACUUGUGGCUGGGGGUGAAAGGCCAAUCAAACCGGGAGAUAGCUGGUUCUCCCCGAAAGCUAUUUAGGUAGCGCCUCGUGAAUUCAUCUCCGGGGGUAGAGCACUGUUUCGGCAAGGGGGUCAUCCCGACUUACCAACCCGAUGCAAACUGCGAAUACCGGAGAAUGUUAUCACGGGAGACACACGGCGGGUGCUAACGUCCGUCGUGAAGAGGGAAACAACCCAGACCGCCAGCUAAGGUCCCAAAGUCAUGGUUAAGUGGGAAACGAUGUGGGAAGGCCCAGACAGCCAGGAUGUUGGCUUAGAAGCAGCCAUCAUUUAAAGAAAGCGUAAUAGCUCACUGGUCGAGUCGGCCUGCGCGGAAGAUGUAACGGGGCUAAACCAUGCACCGAAGCUGCGGCAGCGACACUAUGUGUUGUUGGGUAGGGGAGCGUUCUGUAAGCCUGUGAAGGUGUGCUGUGAGGCAUGCUGGAGGUAUCAGAAGUGCGAAUGCUGACAUAAGUAACGAUAAAGCGGGUGAAAAGCCCGCUCGCCGGAAGACCAAGGGUUCCUGUCCAACGUUAAUCGGGGCAGGGUGAGUCGACCCCUAAGGCGAGGCCGAAAGGCGUAGUCGAUGGGAAACAGGUUAAUAUUCCUGUACUUGGUGUUACUGCGAAGGGGGGACGGAGAAGGCUAUGUUGGCCGGGUGACGGUUGUCCCGGUUUAAGCGUGUAGGCUGGUUUUCCAGGCAAAUCCGGAAAAUCAAGGCUGAGGCGUGAUGACGAGGCACUACGGUGCUGAAGCAACAAAUGCCCUGCUUCCAGGAAAAGCCUCUAAGCAUCAGGUAACAUCAAAUCGUACCCCAAACCGACACAGGUGGUCAGGUAGAGAAUACCAAGGCGCUUGAGAGAACUCGGGUGAAGGAACUAGGCAAAAUGGUGCCGUAACUUCGGGAGAAGGCACGCUGAUAUGUAGGUGAGGUCCCUCGCGGAUGGAGCUGAAAUCAGUCGAAGAUACCAGCUGGCUGCAACUGUUUAUUAAAAACACAGCACUGUGCAAACACGAAAGUGGACGUAUACGGUGUGACGCCUGCCCGGUGCCGGAAGGUUAAUUGAUGGGGUUAGCGCAAGCGAAGCUCUUGAUCGAAGCCCCGGUAAACGGCGGCCGUAACUAUAACGGUCCUAAGGUAGCGAAAUUCCUUGUCGGGUAAGUUCCGACCUGCACGAAUGGCGUAAUGAUGGCCAGGCUGUCUCCACCCGAGACUCAGUGAAAUUGAACUCGCUGUGAAGAUGCAGUGUACCCGCGGCAAGACGGAAAGACCCCGUGAACCUUUACUAUAGCUUGACACUGAACAUUGAGCCUUGAUGUGUAGGAUAGGUGGGAGGCUUAGAAGUGUGGACGCCAGUCUGCAUGGAGCCGACCUUGAAAUACCACCCUUUAAUGUUUGAUGUUCUAACGUUGACCCGUAAUCCGGGUUGCGGACAGUGUCUGGUGGGUAGUUUGACUGGGGCGGUCUCCUCCUAAAGAGUAACGGAGGAGCACGAAGGUUGGCUAAUCCUGGUCGGACAUCAGGAGGUUAGUGCAAUGGCAUAAGCCAGCUUGACUGCGAGCGUGACGGCGCGAGCAGGUGCGAAAGCAGGUCAUAGUGAUCCGGUGGUUCUGAAUGGAAGGGCCAUCGCUCAACGGAUAAAAGGUACUCCGGGGAUAACAGGCUGAUACCGCCCAAGAGUUCAUAUCGACGGCGGUGUUUGGCACCUCGAUGUCGGCUCAUCACAUCCUGGGGCUGAAGUAGGUCCCAAGGGUAUGGCUGUUCGCCAUUUAAAGUGGUACGCGAGCUGGGUUUAGAACGUCGUGAGACAGUUCGGUCCCUAUCUGCCGUGGGCGCUGGAGAACUGAGGGGGGCUGCUCCUAGUACGAGAGGACCGGAGUGGACGCAUCACUGGUGUUCGGGUUGUCAUGCCAAUGGCACUGCCCGGUAGCUAAAUGCGGAAGAGAUAAGUGCUGAAAGCAUCUAAGCACGAAACUUGCCCCGAGAUGAGUUCUCCCUGACCCUUUAAGGGUCCUGAAGGAACGUUGAAGACGACGACGUUGAUAGGCCGGGUGUGUAAGCGCAGCGAUGCGUUGAGCUAACCGGUACUAAUGAACCGUGAGGCUUAACCUU
rnacentral:rRNA from 1 species